AAGUUUAGUUCAUUAAAAAUAAUUUUAGUUCAGCAAAAUUUAGGUGUAUCAAACAGGGCCUUGGUUGUCUUCAAUGAUGUGGUAUUAGUUAAUUAAAUUCGCCUUUUCUCUGAUUUCUUGUUUUGCUCUAAAUUCUGGUUCGUUAGAGGGUUGAGUAUUGAGGAUCGCUAGUUCUAAUUGAAUUCUUUUUUUUAUCUGAAUUUUAUUUUGUUUUGAGCCUAAUUUGCUGCUGGGUUGCUGUCAUGAACUCGUGAUGUGGUGUUAGUUUUUUUUAUUGAGUUGUGAGGCAGCAGGUUAGGGGCUAGAAUAAAAGUAGGUUAGUUGAGUGGGGAUGCAUUUUCUUUCUUGGUUGUUUAAUUGUAAAUAUCCUGUUUGGAUGCAAGUUUUCAACAUGACCUUCCCCAAAGUAUUAUCUGUAUAGCUUUUCAAGAUCUGGUUAUAUCUGCUUCCAUGUUUCUCCAUUUACUGGUAUAUUGUAGUAUUAGUGAGGCAUUUUCUAAUUUCGGAUAGCCAGACAUCUGAAUAAGUAUAGAAGAAAGUUUGUAAGUCUUAUCAAAUUAUAGUUAUUGUACUUUCUGGUAAGUUGAUUGUAGCUUGUCAGUAUUUUAAAUUGAAUUAUUAUGUUGACAAGUAUGUCAACGAAUAGGAUAAUGUUUCCAUUCAUUUAAAACUCUACCAAAAAGUUAUUACAGUUAUGCUAUUACUAAAAGUUAUUUCAAUGUGAGUGUGUGUAGUAGACUGUUUGUGCCUAGGUUAUGUUUGCUGCAAUACUAUAUUGAGCAAUGCAAUAUCGGGUGUUAUAUUGUAGAAGUGGGUAAAGGCUUGUGUUAGAACUCUAAAUGCAAAAGUUAGCUUUUUAGCCUUGUAUUGAAGUUGUAAUGUUCAUAACUUAUAUUUAUAACUUUCUUUUUAUUGAAAUCAUCUUUUGUCUAUGCUGAGAAAUUGAUACGAGCUUGAACACUCUUUUUUCCACUGGAUAACGGAAUACUAUUGUUUCCCUAGGAACUAAAUUUGAUAUUUAGGUUGUUCCCGUCUAAAUAGUUACAUGUAUUGCUCAAUUAUCUAAUAGCUUUAUUAGAUUAUCUUCGAGUGAUCAAAGUUUAAAAUGCUGAUGCGUGAGCUUAGUCUUUCCACAUAUAUACUUUCAGGAAUAUAAAAGAUGUGAUACAGUCAUCACACAAAAUAUGAAGGUUUGGUGUGAUGGCAAAGUAGCACUUAACAUGUAUAAGAAGUUGCUGAUAGUCUUUCCUAAAGAGAAGAAUGGAAGGGAGUAGCUUUGGAAAAGAGCCUUGUCAAUAUAUUUGUUAUGCCAAUAUGUCAAUGAAAAGAUUGACGGGGGUGCGGUUUUGGACCUUUUGAUAUGCACUAUUCCGUGGCUGAAAAAAUAAAGCAAAUUUUAAACAAAGUAUAAGAGAUUACUCCUGCUGCUGCAACCUUACUACUAAUGUUGAUGCUACCACACUUAUUACUGUUAUUACCAUGUUGUUGCUACCACUACUGCACUGCCAUUAAAGCAUUGCUGCCAAUUUUAUGCGCUACACUACAUUAUCAGAGAUUAGAUUAUAUUAUGAUAAACAUAUUCUAGUCUGUAUUUUUAAAAUAUAAACAUAAAUUGUAUUAGA